ACGGAAGGCAGCAGUGGGGAAUAUUGCACAAUGGGGGAAACCCUGAUGCAGCGACGCCGCGUGAAGGAAGAAGUAUCUCGGUAUGUAAACUUCUAUCAGCAGGGAAGAUAGUGACGGUACCUGACUAAGAAGCCCCGGCUAACUACGUGCCAGCAGCCGCGGUAAUACGUAGGGGGCAAGCGUUAUCCGGAUUUACUGGGUGUAAAGGGAGCGUAGACGGUGUGGCAAGUCUGAUGUGAAAGGCAUGGGCUCAACCUGUGGACUGCAUUGGAAACUGUCAUACUUGAGUGCCGGAGGGGUAAGCGGAAUUCCUAGUGUAGCGGUGAAAUGCGUAGAUAUUAGGAGGAACACCAGUGGCGAAGGCGGCUUGCUGGACGACAACUGACGCUGAGGCGCGAAAGCGUGGGGAGCAAACAGGAUUAGAUACCCUGGUA
rnacentral:rRNA from 1 species